rfam:Stegodyphus mimosarum contig70322, whole genome shotgun sequence.
GCCUUCCUUGUGUAGUGGUCAGCAUACUCGACACGUAACCGAAAGGUCCGUGGUUCGAUUCCCGGCGAAGGCG